CUGCAAAUAUUCUCUCUGUUCUGAUCUUGUGAUGAUCAGGACAGGCUAAAUAUUUUCUAUGUUAAGACCGUGCAUGUAUCUCCAAACCUAGUUCUUUCCCUAGAUGUGGUUUUCUAAAUGUUGCUGAUAAAC
ensembl:snoRNA SNORA72 Small nucleolar RNA SNORA72